CUGUCAAAGUCUUAGCUAGUUCAUUGGUUCUGUAGCAAAUGCCGUCAUUGAACGCUAGCUAGCUAACUAACUAGAAAAAAAAAACGAAGAACUCAUGGUGGUAAGUGAGGCAUUUACCAAUGGCGUCGGCACAGCGAGCGAUCGCUGUGACAUUGGUUACGUGGCAAUAUUGUUUUCGAAAUUGGUCACGCGUUAGGUGAUAACUGAAUCGUUGUGGAGUUCAUUAACAAUCGCGGACGGCUCCUUAGCCGCGCGUAAUGGAUCAUAGAGAGGAUAUGAAGAGUUUGUUUUUGUGGCUGAACUGCGGACGAGGUUGUGGCAUGUCGUACGUGAAAGAGAAAAGCGACGACUAAGAGAUUUUCAACGACUUGCAGAAAUAGAACUGAAUUAACCGUAAAAGUCGUGGGGAAAUUUGCCUUCAAGUUACAUCACUCCGCUGCGUCAAGCGGUGGCAAAAAAAGAAUUAGGAGAAGAGGGGAAGAACAAUCACUGAACGGAUGACUGACAGAAAUACAUAUAGAGCUGUAUUUGUUAGUGCACGUCUAUCUCACGGUCUUCUAACGACAAUCUCCAAGCAAUAGCAGAACCUAAGUAUUCCGCAACAAAUGCAAAAUCGAAUGAGAAAUGCUGUCUAUACUUCGUUCGCCGUAGCAAAACCUCGCCAAACUCCUCGCCAGCCUUCAUUUCUCCAUACCUCAUUAUCGAACGCCACCUGCUACUACCCACAACUCUUAGUUUUUAUUAGACAUUUUUCUCCUCUGGUAUAUACCCAGUUCGUUGAACAUUGGCAACACUUAAUCAACAGUCAACGGUAUGCCCAAUUUAGACAGGGCUAACCCCACUGCUGUACUUUGGACCAGGAAUUCAUCAAAUAUUUAUGCUGCCCCCUUAGUCUUUCGUUUAUUCAUGUUUGUUAGUACACUGUAAACUGUCACGCAGCAAUAGUUGCUACUUAAUGAUUAGCUGGCGUAUAGAUUAAUCAAACUAUCGCAGUCUUUUGAUGCCAGUGUGAUCCUACGCGGGUGAAGUAAACUGCCGCAGAAGGAAGCUCGAGAAGCAAUAGGCAAAAAAACGAAUGAGGAGGAAUAAAGGGGGUAAUUUCGUUU